AAUAGAUACCCGGGUAGUCCACGCCGUAAACGUUGGAUACUAGGUGUGGCGGUCUUACCAACGACUGCCGUGCCGAAGCUAACGCAUUAAGUAUCCCGCCUGGGGAGUACGGCCGCAAGGCUAAAACUCAAAGGAAUUGACGGGUCCCCGCACAAGCGGCGGAGCAUGCGGCUUAAUUCGAUGCAACCCGAAGAACCUUACCUGGGUUUGACAUCACGGGAAAAGCUGUAGAAAUACAGUGUCCAUUAGGGCCCGUGACAGGUGGUGCAUGGCUGUCGUCAGCUCGUGUCGUGAGAUGUUGGGUUAAGUCCCGCAACGAGCGCAACCCUUGUCCCGUGUUGCCAGCAGGCCCUUGUGGUGCUGGGGACUCACGGGGAGACCGCCGGGGUCAACUCGGAGGAAGGUGGGGACGACGGUCAAGGUCAUCAUGCCCCUUAUGUCUUGGGCUGCACACGUGCUACAAUGGCCGGUACAAUGAGCUGCGAUACCGCGAGGUGGAGCGAAUCUCAAAAAAGCCGGUCUCAGUUCGGAUUGGGGUCUGCAACUCGA
rnacentral:rRNA from 1 species